rnacentral:lncRNA from 1 species
UUCGUAUCAUUUCAUUUGAUCAUUUGCUUUAUUUUGUUAUUCCAUCUAAAACGAACAAAAACAUAAUAAAAUGGAAAAGACUAAAAAGAUUUAAUGUAGACUUGAUGUUUGAUAUUUGCAUUAGACAUGAAGUAUUAUGAACCAUAUGUAAUUUUGUGUAUGACCAAAGCUUGGAGACUUGGAGGACUUGUUAGUACCUUGCAUUUGUACUUCGACUUUUGUGAUUGACCUAUGCAAUU